UACGGAGGAUGCAAGCGUUAUCCGAAAUGAUUGGGCGUAAAGGGUCCGCAGGUGGCAAUGUAAGUCUGCUGUCAAAGAAUGAGGCUUAACCUCAUCAAGGCAGUGGAAACUACAUAGCUAGAGUACGGUCGGGGUAGAAGGAAUUCCUGGUGUAGCGGUGAAAUGCGUAGAGAUCAGGAAGAACACCGGUGGCGAAAGCGUUCUGCUAGACCUGUACUGACACUGAGGGACGAAAGCUAGGGGAGCGAAUGGG
rnacentral:rRNA from 1 species